rnacentral:rRNA from 1 species
AAAAAUACAUGAUUCCUCANUACGGCGAGCGAAGACGGAUAAGCUCAAAUUUUAAAUCUGUUGGGUUCCACUUAACAGAGUUGUAUUUUGAAGAAACGUUUUCUGCAUCCAGGAUUGGCCUAAAUCCUUUGGGAUAAGGUAUCAUGGAGGGUGAGAAUCCCGUUCAUGGUUAAUCUUAAGGAAGCUCUACGAUACGUUUUCCAAGAGUCGAGUUGUUUGGGAUUGCAGCUCAAAAUGGGAGGUAAAUUUCUCCUAAGGCUAAAUAUUGGCGAGAGACCGAUAGCGAACAAGUACCGUGAGGGAAAGAUGAAAAGAACUUUGAAAAGAGAGUUAAACAGUACGUGAAAUUGUUGAAAGGGAAACGAUUGAAGUCAGUCAUACCAACGGGAAAUCAACCUUUGGAGCUCGGUCUCGUGGGUUUUGAAGAGUUUCAAAGCCUUCGGAUUCGCGGGAUUGGGAUCUCUUGGCGUACUUUUUCGUACGGUUAGUCAACGUCGGUUUUGAAUGUCAUAAAAUGACUGGAGGAAUGUAGCUUCGAUCUCGUAUUGAAGUGUUAUAGCCUUUGGUAGAUGUGAUGUUUGAGACCGAGGAUUGCAACGGAUACCCUUCAGGGCUAUUCGUCUGAUCCCUGAUACGUUGCCUUGAUGUUGAAAGCUUGCUUAUGAUGUUAGGGUAUUACGGUCAAAAGGUUAGAACGAAUUACAUUCGUUAAGGAUGUUGACGUA